GCUCUUCUUAAUUGUGUUUCCCUUUUCUUUUUAGGUAACUCGAUAAAACCAAGUGGAGAAAAUUGAAGCAGAGUGGUGGAGCUGGAAACAAAGGUUUUUUGCUGAUGUGGUUGGGUAACAGAUGGGUUAGCAGGGAUCAAAUGAAAGCCUGUUCUAUCUGAUGCUGGACUACAAGUGCUGCCACUCACUUCUGCCUAAAUGAUUACCACUCUGGAUUCAGAACUGACCACAUGGAAGAGCUACAGAUUGAAAUGAAGGAGACAAAAAGGGACUUUGUGGAGAAACUACUUGAUGCAUGUGAUGGAGAGGCUGAAGGAAGAUCUUGAAGACAUCAAGGAAGAAAUGGCUUCAGGCUCUUCUUCCUUGCCUGCAGCUUCACUUCCGGGCACUGCAGGGAACAUUCAACCACAACCAGCUAUCCGCUACCAGGGACUGUUUCUGGAGACUGCUCACCAGCUCCUCUGCUCCUAGGUUGUUCUGGCAUCCCACCACCUCCAUGAGGAAUGCAUAUUUCCCCCCCCCCCCCAGCCUAUGCACCUCGGCUGUGUCCAUGGGGAUCAUCUUCAAAGAAGAUUCACGAGCCAUACAACGACAAACACCACACUGGACUAAGUGUCUGUUGAGAACUUGAAGAAAAGCUGAAACAUGAGAAAAGGACAGAUUUUGUAUGUGUGGUGUAAUAUUCUGAAAUUUUUAGCUGACACAGGGAGUGACAAAUUUGUGG